CCUACGGGUGGCAGCAGUGAGGAAUAUUGGUCAAUGGGCGUAAGCCUGAACCAGCCAAGUCGCGUGAGGGAUGAAGGUUCUAUGGAUCGUAAACCUCUUUUAUCAGGGAAUAAAGUGUGGGACGUGUCCUAUUUUGUAUGUACCUUAUGAAUAAGGAUCGGCUAACUCCGUGCCAGCAGCCGCGGUAAUACGGAGGAUCCGAGCGUUAUCCGGAUUUAUUGGGUGUAAAGGGUGCGUAGGCGGCCUUUUAAGUUAGCGGUGAAAGUCUGUGGCUCAACUAUAGAAUUGCCGUUGAAACUGGGGGGCUUGAGUAUGUUUGCGGCAGGCGGAAUGCGUGGUGUAGCGGUGAAAUGCUUAGAUAUCACGCAGAACCCCGAUUGCGAAGGCAGCCUGCCAAGCCAUGACUGACGCUGAUGCACGAAAGCGUGGGGAUCAAACAGGAUUAGAUACCCCAAUAGUA
rnacentral:rRNA from 1 species